UAUCAUUAUCCUGAGUGCCUUCCUAGUUAGUAUACUGGCCAUUCAUGGUACUUUUUGGUGAGGGGUGGUUUAUAAUAGCCUCCAUAGCAGGCUCUCUAUGGACUUUUUUGGCACUUUUGCUGGCCAUUUCUUUUUGUACUGGGCCAGCAAUAAGGGAGCCCUAAUUAAGUCACUAGGAUCUCUUCCUUUCUCUCUGUCAGUCAGUCUAUACAGACUAUGACAUUUUUCUACGCAAAAAGAACCUAAGCGACAAAGACGACUAGAACUAGGAUACACACAAAGAUAUGCCCUUUAUGAAACCUUUACCAUUCUGUUACAUAUAAUACAACUUGUAUGUUUUAUAUAUCGUUUUGUGUGGCGGGAUUAACCUUGUAUUUGUUGGUUACCUUACAGUUUCGUUUCAAAGCCAUUUGCUAAGUUACGCACAUUCGAUUAAAACCAGUUCAUAUACAUGUAUUUUCAUAUACAAUGUAUCUGUUGUAUCUUUUUGUAUUGUAUGGAUGACAUUUUUUCACACGUCUAUGUUGUCCAUUUCCAAAAAGAAAAUGCUGUAAAUCAUAAAAAAUAUGUAAAAUGAGCACAUACAUGCCUUCAAAUUUCAAUUAAAAACAACAUUAUCAGGAACGGAUACUAUUAUUGUAGAAUACAAAAAAUAGAAAAAAAGAAAAUCUAUGGUUAGGUAUAAUGUUUACUCAAUGUCUCUAAUCAAUUGUUCAAUCUUCCUGAUCUCUUAGAUUUCAUAUUGAAUGCAAAUUUUAAUUUCUUACUUGCAUCAUUAACGGUAACGUUAUAUAUAGUAAAUCUACCACACUUGUGGAUUUCAUCCAUAGCUCAUCAAAAUUGGAUACUAAAGUGAUUUCUACACAGCUGCUUCAACAUUGGUCACCAAAUCUGUAUCUUACACAUCGAUGUACUUCAAAGAGUAAAUAGUUUUUAUCAUUUCG